GUGUAGAUAGUUUAAUACAAAAUAAAUAUUUGAAAAAUAUUUGAUAGAUAUUACGUAUCUUCUAUACA